GGCAACGAGGGGCGCGGCUACGUGCUGCGGCGCGUGCUGCGCCGGGCCGUGCGCUCGGUACGGCUGCUGGGGUACCAGGACCCGGCGCUGCCC
rnacentral:tRNA from 1 species